GACGAACGCUGGCGGCGUGCUUAACACAUGCAAGUCGAACGGAAAGGCCCUGCUUUUGUGGGGUGCUCGAGUGGCGAACGGGUGAGUAACACGUGAGUAACCUGCCCUUGACUUUGGGAUAACUUCAGGAAACUGGGGCUAAUACUGGAUAGGAGCUCCUGCUGCAUGGUGGGGGUUGGAAAGUUUCGGCGGUUGGGGAUGGACUCGCGGCUUAUCAGCUUGUUGGUGGGGUAGUGGCUUACCAAGGCUUUGACGGGUAGCCGGCCUGAGAGGGUGACCGGCCACAUUGGGACUGAGAUACGGCCCAGACUCCUACGGGAGGCAGCAGUGGGGAAUAUUGCACAAUGGGCGGAAGCCCGAUGCAGCAACGCCGCGUGCGGGAUGACGGCCUUCGGGUUGUAAACCGCUUUCGCCUGUGACGAAGCGUGAGUGACGGUAAUGGGUAAAGAAGCACCGGCUAACUACGUG
rnacentral:rRNA from 1 species